GAAGUGGUAGCUCAGUGGUGAAGUUUUAGACUACUAAUCGGAAGGUCAUGAGUUCAAUCCUCAACACCACCA